rnacentral:rRNA from 1 species
CGUACACUCCUACGGGAGGCAGCAGUGGGGAAUAUUGCACAAUGGGCGCAAGCCUGAUGCAGCCAUGCCGCGUGUAUGAAGAAGGCCUUCGGGUUGUAAAGUACUUUCAGCGGGGAGGAAGGCGAUAAGGUUAAUAACCUUGUCGAUUGACGUUACCCGCAGAAGAAGCACCGGCUAACUCCGUGCCAGCAGCCGCGGUAAUACGGAGGGUGCAAGCGUUAAUCGGAAUUACUGGGCGUAAAGCGCACGCAGGCGGUCUGUCAAGUCGGAUGUGAAAUCCCCGGGCUCAACCUGGGAACUGCAUUCGAAACUGGCAGGCUAGAGUCUUGUAGAGGGGGGUAGAAUUCCAGGUGUAGCGGUGAAAGGCGUAGAGAUCUGGAGGAAUACCGGUGGCGAAGGCGGCCCCCUGGACAAAGACUGACGCUCAGGUGCGAAAGCGUGGGGAGCAAACAGGAUGAGAUACCCGGGUAGUCCCAUGA